AAAUGAAUUGACGGGGGCCCGCACAAGCAGUGGAGUAUGUGGUUUAAUUCGACGCAACGCGAAGAACCUUACCAAGUCUUGACAUCCCUUGACGAUGCUGGAAACAGUAUUUCUCUUCGGAGCAAGGAGACAGGUGGUGCAUGGUUGUCGUCAGCUCGUGUCGUGAGAUGUUGGGUUAAGUCCCGCAACGAGCGCAACCCUUAUGGUCAGUUACUACGCAAGAGGACUCUGGCCAGACUGCCGUUGACAAAACGGAGGAAGGUGGGGAUGACGUCAAAUCAUCAUGCCCUUUAUGACUUGGGCUACACACGUACUACAAUGGCGUUAAACAAAGAGAAGCAAGACCGCGAGGUGGAGCAAAACUCAGAAACAACGUCCCAGUUCGGACUGCAGGCUGCAACUCGCCUGCACGAAGUCGGAAUUGCUAGUAAUCGUGGAUCAGCAUGCCACGGUGAAUACGUUCCCGGGCCUUGUACACACCGCCCGU
rnacentral:rRNA from 1 species